GGAGAGAGUUUGAUCCUGGCUCAGAAUCAACGUUGGCGGCGCGCCUAACACAUGCAAGUCGAACGAGAAAGUGGAGCAAUCCAUGAGUACAGUGGCGUACGGGUGAGUAACACGUGGGUAAUCUACCUGUUAGAGGGGAAUAACCCUGGGAAACCGGGGCUAAUACCGCAUAAGUUCGUAAGAAGAAAGUCGAAAGACGCUGACAGAGGAGCCCGCGGCCGAUUAGCUAGUUGGCAGGGUAAAAGCCUACCAAGGCGACGAUCGGUAGCCGGCCUGAGAGGGCACACGGCCACACUGGCACUGAAACACGGGCCAGACUCCUACGGGAGGCAGCAGUGGGGAAUCUUGCACAAUGGGGGAAACCCUGAUGCAGCGACGCCGCGUGAGUGAUGAAGCCCUUCGGGGUGUAAAGCUCUUUCGACGGGAACGAUUAUGACGGUACCCGGAGAAGAAGCUGCGGCUAACUACGUGCCAGCAGCCGCGGUAA
rnacentral:rRNA from 1 species